UAGUGAGAGUGAGGACAACAUUGCCAUGCUAGCUAGAAAAUUCACUAAGUUUAUGAUUUAAAACUAUAGAAAUAGAAAGCCUACAAAAAGAGAUGAGCCUAAAAUGGCACAUUCAAAUGAUCAUUUGAUAUGCCAUGAUUAAAAAAAGCCUAAAACAACCAAAUAUGAGUACCUAAGCAAGAAAAAAGUCUCAAAAAAUUCCAAGAAAAAGGCAAUGAUAACAACUUGAAGUGGUGAUGAUUGUCAAGAUGAUCAGGUUACAAACUCUUAUCUUAUGGCAUUUGAUGGCCACAAGGAGGAACACAAAUGUUUGAUGUCAAAAGCACAACAAAAUAGAAAAUGGUACCUUGAAAGUGGAUGCUUUAGACACAUGACCGAUAGCAAGGAAUCAUUCAAAGAAUUGAGACUAAAGAAAUGAGGUAACAUAACUUUUGGUGAUGACUCAAAAGGUCACAUUAAAGGCAUUGGUACAAUCGGUUCUAACAAGACCCCGCAUUUCCACUUGAAGCAUUAAUUGUGGUUGGAGCUAAUCAAAAAGAAAAAUCAACAAAGACAAGUUAUACCUUGAAAGGUAAUAUUGCAUGAUUACUACAACUGUGCAUGUGCGGUGUAGGAGUGCACAUGACGAUGAAGAUGAUGAAUUGCCAUGUGCGGUGUGGGAGUGCACAUGACGGUAUUAAUUAUGUGUGGUGUGGGAGUGCACAUAAGUUGGGGUGACGUUGGUAGUUGUAUGCGCUGAACCAUGUCGACUAUUUUGGGGAUUCGAAGAUAGUUGAGACCUAGACUGAGGUAUCCAUUUAUACUCGCCUUUUGGUAGGUACCAUGGCAUUCAGUAGCAAGACUCGCACCCAAAGUCAUUCUGCUGGUAGUCAAGGGUCUUUUGCAUGUGUACAUGUACAUUUGAUGUAAAUUGCUAAGAUUUAUGUUAUAAACAAUAUAUGUAUAUUUUGGAUCGAUGAUGCCACUAUGAGUUGGCAAUGGAUGACAUUAUUUUGGGAUGAUACAAACAUAAGUAUUUGGUUGC